rnacentral:lncRNA from 1 species
CACAACUAUAUAUCUAGAACAACAUUCACGGUACUAAUUUUUCUGCACCAGAUGCGCAUUUUAACAAUAAAUGUCUCUUCAGUAAAGAUCGAGGCCAAAAUUUUGAAAAUUUAAAAUUAAGAUUAGUUUAGAAAUGGUUAAGAGGAGAGCUUCUCGGAAUGCCUGUAACAGGCACCACAAUCUGUAUUCAAAAUACAGAACUCAUUAAAUUGGUUACUACUACAUCGUAUCAAAGCGAAAAAUUAAAAGUGUCAACAAAGAUGACUAGACUUGUCAUAAAGAAUAAGAUCACACAGAUCUAAGAAUCUGAUGUUCAGUAGUUGUCGUUUUUUGAUGUGGUUCAUAAGUGUUUCUUGUUUCUCGUUUUUUUAUAUAUCGAUUAGUCGGUUGCAUGGGUUUCCCGUUUGAAUGGUUUUACCCUAGUCAAUUUUAGGGCCCUUUAUAGCUUGGUGCUCGGUGUGAGCCAAAGCUCCAUGAUGAAGACCGUACUUUGACCUAUUAUGGUCUACUUUUACAAAUUGUGAUUUGAAUAAGGAGUUGUCUCAUUGGCACUCAUACCACAUCUUCUUAUAUCUAUUGAAGGCAAAAACCCUCUCCGAAAAUGGGACGGUGGUGUAACAGUAAAACAUAGGAAAAAACUACGACAAUUAACACAUCAGAUCGAUAUAAAACAGAAAAACGUCUAACAAUAACACAAAUCGGACGUGCAUGGCAGGGUACUUGUGCAUCCAUCACAACAAAAAAUAAACUACUGAGUACAGAUCUGAGAGUACUGGCAGUUAUUGACAGCUAACUCAAAGUCAAUAUCAACAAUCU